ACCUGGGUGGCUCAGUUGGUUGAGCGUCUGACUUUGGCUCAGGUCAUGAUCUCAAGGUCUGUGAGUUCGAGCCCCAUGUCAGGCU
rfam:Felis catus isolate Cinnamon breed Abyssinian chromosome D4, whole genome shotgun sequence.